CGGUUCCUCCAGUGAUGUUACUAUGAGCAGCCGAGCUGCAGGUUUGUUGCAGACCGGUUCGUCAACAUCUCAGCUGUGUAACGUCUGGCUCUUUUCGUUGUCUUAGUUGUACGCCAAGCUGCAGUGCAUCAAAGCGGAGAUCCAGGACGUCAAUGACGAGCACGUGAGGAGCCGACAGGAGCUGGAACAAACCCAGAAUGAACUCACCAGAGAACUCAAGUUCAAGUACCUGAUCAUCGAGAACUUCAUUCCUCCAGAAGAGAAGAAUAAGAUCAUGAACAGACUGACCUUUGACCCUGAGGAGGAUCAGUGGAAGUUCCAGCCUAUAGUCCCCUCAGAAAGUAAAUCCUCACAGUUGAAGAGAGGCCGGUGUCUGCAGUCGGAUACAAACGGCCCAUCAGCCACUACGCCAGGGUUGCUAUAGCAAUGGGAGCACAUUCCAGAUACAGGGCCGAGAACAUCAUGUUUCUGGAACUGGACAUGACUCCUCUCAACACAUCAACAGGGGUGGAGCCAAACCAAAGUCCCUCCCUGAACAACUCCCCCACUAAGGACAGAGGCGGAUGUGUCCGCAGGUCCCGCUCUUGGUGAGCCA